GGAGCCCGUGUACCGGUACAAGGGAGUAGGUAGAGGGCUAAAACAGUAAAAUCUCACCUCGUUUGUAUCUCCCUCACCUCCCCUCUCCUUUUAGGUGUCCGAGCAGAGAGAGAGAGAGUAUUUCUCUGCUCUGCUCCAUCUUCUUCUCCUCUCUCUCUCUAGGUGUUGGUUGAAAAUCCGGUUGGGGAUUCCGUCGCCGACGUCGCGCCGCGAGCCGUCCGAGCGCGCUUGUUGCCGGAGCUUUGCGAGGAGGCCGGGCGAGGGAGCGUCUUCACUGUUCUUGACGUCGCACCGAGGUUCGACGCUGUCGAGUAUUUCAGCUCGUUCUCGACGUAGGAGCAUCGGAUUGCGACGAGACUUGGUUCGUUGGAUUCGGGACUGCGAGAGGAAUCCACGAAGCCCUUACUUGUGAAUUUUGGUGAAGGUUAGCUCGGUCGAAUCCCGUUUCUACUCAGCUGCUGUGGAUUUUGGACUGAAUUGAGGAAUUUUGGCGUUUUUAGUUUGGAGUUCGCUCGAUUUCGAGACUCGGGCAUUUUUGGUCAAUCCAGCAGGUGGUGUUGCAGCCGAGGGUGUUCCGUGCUGCCAGGGAUUAGCGAGCGAGAGCCACAGGUUCCGGCUGCUGCACCGUCUGCGGACCAGGAUCGAGGCAAGGGCGUC